AGAACAGGUUCUUAGAAUUCACGGAGGGACUGAUUACCGCGUGCUGAUUCAUUGUUCUGGAAGCAUCCACCAGGUAACAUUUCCAGAGCUCUUUUUGGGAAAGUAGAAGUGGAAGUAGCUGGAAGCUAGAACGAAUGAGGCCAAGGUCAUAGGAGCUGUGACUUCUAACAAGGAUUAAAAAAAAAAAAAAUGUUCCUCAGUCACACCCUGUGCCCUCUAUGUUGACAGGGGAGAAGGCCUCAGUACCCAAGGCACGAGUGAGAGAAUGGCAGGAGGCCCAUGUGGCAGGCCUUCCAGGACUGUCUGUUUCGGUGAAGGGAAUGAAAUUGCACAUGUUGCCGAAUCAGUGCCGUUCCUCCCCGCCCCACACACCUGCUCUCAGAACCAGCCCUGCUCUCCUCACUCCCUGCAGUGCCGUCUGCAUCCUCUCAUAAGGGGCCCUGUCUCUUGGCUGUCUCUGUCUGGCCCACAUCAAAGGAGCCUGUUGUAGGAGGUACAGGUCACUACUUAGCGAUGCCUGAGAAGUGCCUGAUUAGACCUGUUGAACGUGGAGCAUACAGAUGGAGUCACUGGUUAAAGCUGGAGAACGAAUGCCGAGAGAACGGACAUCUAUUUCAGAUGUGGCCACCGAAGAGCCAACCUCUGCCAGGGAGCUGCGUCUUGUGAAACGG